UGGGGAAUCUUGCGCAAUGGACGAAAGUCUGACGCAGCCACGCCGCGUGAGUGAAGAAGGCCUUCGGGUUGUAAAGCUCUGUCGAGCGGGACGAACAUCGGGCGGGUUAAGAGCUAGUCCGACUGACGGUACCGCUAAAGGAAGCACCGGCUAACUCCGUGCCAGCAGCCGCGGUAAUACGGAGGGUGCAAGCGUUGCUCGGAAUUAUUGGGCGUAAAGGGUAGGUAGGUGGUCUCAUUUGUCGGGGGUGAAAGCCUUGGGCUUAACUCAAGAAGUGCCCCCGAAACGGUGAGACUGGAGUCCUGGAGAGGGUCGUGGAAUUCCCGGUGUAGCGGUGAAAUGCGUAGAGAUCGGGAGGAACACCAGAGGCGAAGGCGGCGACCUGGACAGGAACUGACACUCAACUACGAAAGCGUGGGGAGCAAACAGG
rnacentral:rRNA from 1 species